AACGAACGCUGGCGGCAUGCCUAACACAUGCAAGUCGAACGAGACCUUCGGGUCUAGUGGCGCACGGGUGCGUAACGCGUGGGAGCCUGCCUUUAGGUUCGGAAUAACUCAGAGAAAUUUGAGCUAAUACCGGAUGAUGUCUUCGGACCAAAGAUUUAUCGCCUUUAGAUGGGCCCGCGUUGGAUUAGCUAGUUGGUGGGGUAAAGGCCUGCCAAGGCGACGAUCCAUAGCUGGUCUGAGAGGAUGAUCAGCCACACUGGGACUGAGACACGGCCCAGACUCCUACGGGAGGCAGCAGUGGGGAAUAUUGGACAAUGGGCGAAAGCCUGAUCCAGCAAUGCCGCGUGAGUGAUGAAGGCCUUAGGGUUGUAAAGCUCUUUUACCCGAGAUGAUAAUGACAGUAUCGGGAGAAUAAGCUCCGGCUAACUCCGUG
rnacentral:rRNA from 1 species